GAUGAACGCUGGCGGCAUGCCUAAGACAUGCAAGUCGUACGAAGCGGCCCACUGAAGUCUGAGUGCUUGCACAAAGAUGGACGUGGAUCACCGCUUAGUGGCAAACGGGUGAGUAACACGUGGGUUACCUACCUCUAAGUUGGGGAUAACAAUUGGAAACGAUUGAUAAUACCGAAUGUGCUCUACGGAGUAAAGAAGCCCUUAAAGCUUCGCUUAGAGAUGGGCCUGCGGCGCAUUAGCUAGUGGUGAGAUAACGGCCCACCAAGGCAACGAUGCGUAGCCGAACUGAGAGGUUGAUCGGCA
rnacentral:rRNA from 1 species